GAGCCAGCAGUUAGCAGCUUGUAGCCAAGGGAGUAACACCAUUUGGUUCCCCUGUUACUCAUGGAACUUCUUGGAGCUUGGUCCUAACAGUGAUUUCAGGACAGCUGGCCAUGGGAGAGAACCUGGAGCUCUGAGGUCACCCCCGGGUGAGACCAAGUCAUAGGGUGAAGAAGAGACAUUCAACCAAGACCCGAAGGCUGGCUCUUACUGAUAAUUUUUCCGUCAUUAAAUGUUUACAUUGCUGUGCCAAGAACUUUUUUAAUGUGCUCUUUAGAAGAGGUAUGUGGCCACUACUGUCUGCAAGAUGAAAUCAGACUUCUAUGGUAUUGCUAUUAAAUUUUUUU